UACGUAGGGGGCUAGCGUUGUCCGGAUUUAUUGGGCGUAAAGAGCGUGUAGGCGGCCGGGUAAGUCCGGUGUGAAAACUCGAGGCUUAACCUCGAGAUGUCAUCGGAAACUAUUCGGCUAGAGUCCGGAAGAGGAGAGUGGAAUUCCGUGGUGUAGCGGUGAAAUGCGCAGAUAUCAGGAAGAACACCUAUGGCGGAAAGCAGCUCUCUGGGACGGUACUGACGCUGAGACG
rnacentral:rRNA from 1 species